GACGAACGCUGGCGGCGCGCUUCACACAUGCAAGUCGAACGAGAAGCCCGGGCUUGCCCGGGUGGACAGUGCGAACGGGUGAGUAACACGUGAGCAACCUGCCCCGAAGACCGGGAUAACACCGGGAAACCGGUGCUAAUACCGGAUGUCCUCGCCGGACCGCAUGAUCCGGCGAGGAAAUGGUCAGCCGCUUCGGGAUGGGCUCGCGGCCUAUCAGCUUGUUGGUGGGGUCACGGCCCACCAAGGCGACGACGGGUAGCUGGUCUGAGAGGAUGUCCAGCAACACUGGGACUGAGACACGGCCCAGACUCCUACGGGAGGCAGCAGUGGGGAAUCUUGCGCAAUGGGCGAAAGCCUGACGCAGCGACGCCGCGUGCGGGAUGAAGGCCUUCGGGUUGUAAACCGCUUUCAGCAGGGACGAAAUUGACGGUACCUGUAGAAGAAGCCCCGGCCAACUACGUGCCAGCCGCCGCCGUAACAC
rnacentral:rRNA from 1 species